rnacentral:sRNA from 1 species
GUUCCGGCGUGACCCAUAGUAGUAGCUGUAAUAACUAAGAUUCCCAACCGCCCGCAAAAAGCUCUCGGUCCUGGAUACUACAGAUCUCGGGUCCGGACUGCUCUCAGCGAUAUUCACGUAGGGAAGGACUGCAAGCCAUCACUCCCCUCAACUGGAGAUAAAGCAAAGCCUGUCCCAAACCUUGGUCCCUCCUGUUCAUCCCUGCACACCAUGCUUAACACCCUCCUUGUCCCGGGUGCCUUGAACCCAGGCUACCCCAGAACAAGUGAAUACAAGAGACCUUCCCUCCAGCAAUGCUCAUCUCAGGCCUGAAGACAUUCUUUCAAAGCAUACCUCCCAGAGGGUGGGUGUUACUCCUCAGUUCAUGAGCCCUAUAAGGGGCUACAACCUACUUCCAUUAACAGAGCCCCACCCUAGCCAAAUUAAUGUAGAACAGGCAAUGCUGGCCAGGGGGAGAGCUUGACACCUGAACACUACUAGAAUUGUGUUUUAAGUUCCCAUCAAAGCCAUUUCCAAGUUGUCUGCAGGGGAGGAACACAUUCAUGUAAACAGGGAAAGCAUAACGUCAGAGCCAGCAGACCCUGGGAGUAAUAGAGACAGCCUAUGUAAAUACUAGUUCUAAAUACCUCUGCUUACUCUUCUAGGCUUU